rnacentral:rRNA from 1 species
AACGACCAUACCAUGCUGAAUAUACCGGUCCUCGUUAGAUCCCCGAAGUCAAGCAUCAUUGGGCGUGGUCAGUACUUGGGUGGGUGACCACCUUAGAACACCGCGU